CACAGUGUGCAGCCAGUUCAUGGUGAAACGUGGUUUUGUCAAGAAAAGGUGAUUCAGGACAGGGAGCGAGGCCCAUUGUUCACUAUUGGGCUGCAUUUUCAAGCUCCGGAGGACGUGAUCCUGCUCCUUGCUGGUGUGUGUUGCCACGUGGCCACUAUGUCGGGACUAUUAAUACUGAGCCCUAUCCAGCAUUGAUCCUGUGUCCUGGUUUCCGGUUCUGAAGGCUCCGGUGUCCAGCCAGGGCUCUAACUGGGCAUGGAACAAUUGCCUGUGUGUGGCCAACACUCUCCUAUGGGCCAUGGAAGCCUGUGGAGCGGGGGAGGGGCUUUACUGAGAAUUGGGGGCCUGGCAUGAAAAUAGAAUUGGUAACUAAAUUUGAUCAUUUUGAAAGUACCAGUCUCCUGUCAUAACAAAGGAACAUAGGAUGGCCAGCACUGGACAUCAUUGCCAUAGUGACAAUCAAACAAUAUUGGACAACCUGUGACUGAACCUUCUCACUCCCCGUUUUUUUGUCUUCAUUGCCAGCCACCCAUGGUACAUCCUAUGCAAAACGUGGGGACAGACUUAGGGGGUCUCUGAACCAUUUUCUUGAAAGAACAUUUGUCUCCUUGUUUUAUGCUCCUCUUAUCUCUCUUUCACUGUGACCGGGGCUCAACCAAAGCAGACUGCCUCUGUAUUUCAUUUUCUUAAACAAGUCUUUUUCCUGAGGAUUUUGUUCGUCAACUCUCCAUUCCCCUUACUGUUUUUCAAGAAUGAAUAAAAACCUUUCUGUGGUUGAAGACUUCCACAA